CCUACGGGAGGCAGCAGUAGGGAAUAUUGGACAAUGGGCGAAAGCCUGAUCCAGCAAUGCCGCGUGAGUGAUGAAGGCCUUCGGGUCGUAAAGCUCUUUUACCAGGGAUGAUAAUGACAGUACCUGGAGAAUAAGCUCCGGCUAACUCCGUGCCAGCAGCCGCGGUAAUACGGGAGGGAGCUAGCGUUGUUCGGAAUUACUGGGCGUAAAGAGUACGUAGGCGGUUAUUCAAGUCAGAGGUGAAAGCCCGGGGCUCAACCCCGGAACUGCCUUUGAAACUAGAUAACUAGAGUCUUGGAGAGGUUAGUGGAAUUCCGAGUGUAGAGGUGAAAUUCGUAGAUAUUCGGAAGAACACCAGUGGCGAAGGCGACUAACUGGACAAGUACUGACGCUGAGGUACGAAAGCGUGGGGAGCAAACAGGAUUAGAUACCCUAGGUAGUCCACGCCGUAAACGAUGAUAACUAGUUGUUCGGUCACUUGGUGACUGAGUGACGCAGCUAACGCAUUAAGUUAUCCGCCUGGGGAGUCGGUCGCAAGAUUAAAACUCAAAGGAAUUGACGGNNGAGAGNGCGACGACGACGACGAGGAGAG
rnacentral:rRNA from 1 species